CUGUCUACCAGGUAUAUAACGUUCCCAUACGAUGCAGGUGACCAGCCAAACAUCAAAGCGCAAUUUGCAGCGAUAGCCGGUUUUCCUAAUGUAAUCGGAGCGAUCGACUGCACACAUAUUGCUAUAAAGGCGCCAUCUGAAGACGAAUUUGCAUAUGUGAAUCGGAAACAUUUCCAUUCAAUAAAUGUGCAGAUUAUAUGUGAUGCACAAAUGCGCCUAACAAAUAUUGUGGCAAGGUGGCCUGGGUCAACCCAUGAUUCAUAUAUCCUUACAAACAGCAUGGUUGGGAUGAGACUCCAAGCUGGCAGGGUGCACGAUGGGUGGCUACUUGGUAAGUUAUGCAUUUAAAUGUAUGGUUCUAUCUAAAAGUAAAAUGUUUGUGUCUGUAAUUAUUAUUACUGCCCAUCAGGAGACAGUGGUUAUCCACUAAAGACGUGGCUGUUAACCCCCUCACCAACCCACAAACUGACCGAGAGCGCAGAUACAAUGAUGCCCAUUCCCGCACUCGGUCAGUUGUGGAGCGGGCGAUUGGGCAGCUGAAAUGUCGGUGGCGCUGCCUUGACAGGACCGGGGGAUGCUGUUAUACCGCCCUGACAAGGUUUGCCGCAUCAUACUGGCCUGUGGAGUGCUGCACAAUGUCGCGCACAGGCAUGGCAUACCCCUUGGUGAGGUGGGGGCACCGCCAGAUGACCCUGACCCAGGACCAGUAUAUGUGCAGCACAAUCAACAAGCCAUUCAGGCCCGUCAACGUGUAAUUGCGACAAUAUAAAUGAACAGCAUGCGUCAAGACACGGCCAGAUGGACGGGCUUCAGCACUGGGGGGAACAUUAGAGACACGGGAGACGCUGGACUGAAUGGGCUCUGGCUGCUCAGGUGGUGCGGACUCUGAGUGCGUGCCAGUGGACGUUCCUGCGGUUCCUAAGUCCAAUUAAACACAGGCACAUCUUAACAGUAAUUUGAGUCUGUUCCUUAUUAAUGGGUACACGCAUUUGCAAUAAAAGCAGUGGAUACGUGAAAUCUCUGGUGUACCUUUUGCUAUAUUGCAUGCAUUUUAAAAUUAAACGGUGGCUGGCUAUGUAUAUCAAAGUUAAGGAAAUAAAUCUGAGUCACCUUG